rnacentral:rRNA from 1 species
GCUUACAGCCACACCUCCCUCUGUACACCUGAUUUCAACUGAUCUCGGAAGCUAAGCAGGGUCAGGCCUGCUUAGUACUUGGAUGGGAGACCGCCUGGGAAUACCAGGUGUGCUGUAAGCC